ACACAUGCAAGUCGAGGGGCAGCAUGAUCGAAGCUUGCUUCAAUUGCCGGCGACCGGCGCACGGGUGAGUAACGCGUAUCCAACCUUCCGUACACUCAGGGAUAGCCUUUCGAAAGAAAGAUUAAUACCUGAUGGUAUGAUGAGAUUGCAUGAUAGCAUCAUUAAAGAUUCAUCGGUGUACGAUGGGGAUGCGUUCCAUUAGGUAGUAGGCGGGGUAACGGCCCACCUAGCCUACGAUGGAUAGGGGUUCUGAGAGGAAGGUCCCCCACAUUGGAACUGAGACACGGUCCAAACUCCUACGGGAGGCAGCAGUGAGGAAUAUUGGUCAAUGGACGAGAGUCUGAACCAGCCAAGUAGCGUGAAGGAUGAAGGUCCUACGGAUUGUAAACUUCUUUUAUAAGGGAAUAAAACCUCCCACGUGUGGGAGCUUGUAUGUACCUUAUGAAUAAGCAUCGGCUAACUCCGUGCCAGCAGCCGCGGUAAUACGGAGGAUGCGAGCGUUAUCCGGAUUUAUUGGGUUUAAAGGGAGCGCAGACGGGUCGUUAAGUCAGCUGUGAAAGUUUGGGGCUCAACCUUAAAAUUGCAGUUGAUACUGGCGUCCUUGAGUGCGGUUGAGGUGUGCGGAAUUCGUGGUGUAGCGGUGAAAUGCUUAGAUAUCACGAAGAACUCCGAUUGCGAAGGCAGCACACUAAGCCGUAACUGACGUUCAUGCUCGAAAGUGUGGGUAUCAAACAGGAUUAGAUACCCUGGUAGUCCACACGGUAAACGAUGGAUACUCGCUGUUGGCGAUAUACUGUCAGCGGCUUAGCGAAAGCGUUAAGUAUCCCACCUGGGG
rnacentral:rRNA from 1 species